AGUUGGAAGGAACUCUUAAAAGCCAUCUGGUCCAACUCUCCUGCAGUGAACAGGGACACCUACAGCUCCAUCAGGUUCCCAGAGCCUGACCCUGAAUGCCCCUGAGGAUGAGGCAUCCACCACCUCUCUGUGCUUCCAGUGCUUCACCACCCUUAUUGUAAACCACUUUUUUUUCUUAUAUCCAUCUUUGGGUGAGAUGAAACCUUUGCAGCAGUCGUAAGGAAACGCAGAUCUGUAAUAUUGGGAAUUAUUUCUGAUGAGGAAAAGUAAGGUUUCUGGUGAGAGUUCCUUUCUCAGUGAUCUAUUCCCAUUUCGUGUUAUGAAAGCAUAAGGAAUUAGAGGAAAUUUUUGUCAUUUUUUUUGGUGAGGGAGAGUAGGAACUGGAGCCUGUGGAGCUCAGGCACCAUUUCUAGCUGGAGUUUCUCUGUCAGUGGUUCUUCAUGCCUUCUUGUGCAGGUCGACACCUGCAGUCUUUGUAGGAGAAAAGCCCGUGGUCUAACUUUGGUGUGGGCCCAGUUCCUGGUAAUUCACUAUUUCAGCUUCUUUGAAAGAAUGACUCAUAUAGUUCUGGUACAUUUAAAAGUCUAAAAUAAAGAAGUAGUCAUCGGAGCACCCACUUCCACUUUUAUUCAGACAAAAAAAAAAAAAAAGAAUGAUACAUGCGGGCACCGUCAGUCAUUUCCUCCUCAGAAGAGACAGAAAAUAGUUGCAAUGAAAUGAGUCAAAUGGGAGAUGGAAGCAGGGAUUCCUGGAAACGGUAGUGGCCCCCUGUGUAAAGAUAACAAGCCAGAGAUAAAGCAAAUAAUUUGCUUUGUGAUCAUUAUUGACUGUGUGAGGCAGUGUUAGGAUUCCCAGCUGUGGCAUGAAGUGUAUGAAUCCAGCCUGCAAACAUGGGAUGAUCCCUGUUUCCUGCUGCAUGUAAACUGGAGGGCAGCAGAGGGCAUUGAAAUGUAUGGAGACAUUGGGUUGUUCUUUUUAAAAUUAAUGUAUUUUUUAUAUAUGGCAUCAAAGUUAGGCUUGGCUUUUUCUUGGUUUCUGCAGCCAUAGGCUGGUUUCAGCCCAAGGUGACAAUGGUAUCACGGUUUCAUAGGCUUCUUUUAUCCAUUUUCUAGAAAACUGAUGGCCUGCUGAAGCACCUUCUUCCUCCCCUGCUUGUGGGAGCAUCCAAAGUGUGAACUGCCCCUUUGUCUGCUGUGGAAGGAAUACAGAUGGGAGAAGGCUGUUCAUGGCUCAAGCUAUGGUUGGAAAGAGGAAACAGGUGUUCUCAGCUAACAGCUCCCAAACCCCUGAUGGACACCCACAAAACUGCAAAGUGAAUGGCCAAAAAAAGCAUGAGCUGCAGCUGCAGUAGUGUGGCUGAUGGCACUUUGGAAAGAAUUUCAGAGGAAGACUGUGAGAGUGCAAGGGGGAAGGAGGACACACAUGACAACUGACACACACUCCCUCCUUCCCAGACCUGGAUGCAAAUGAGAAAAGGUUAAUGAUGCUAUCACAUGGCAGAGUCCAAGCUGAAGACAAAGCCAGCAAAAUGAAGGUGCCAAUAUUCUGAGCCUGCAACACAGGAAGCGUGGAGUCAAGUUGCAUUUCUCAAAUCAGCAUCCAAAUUUAACUCCUUGCCCGUGCAGAAGCAGGUCUGGUUUCUCUUUUGGGCCAGGGCAAAAGAAACAUACAGGCACCAAAUCCUCUUACUCAACUACCUAAAUAAUUCGGAAUUAGGACAAUAAAUGCUUUCUAUUUCUGGCCAUGAAUACACAAGGGGGAACUUUACUCUCAGGGGAAGAAAAAAUGGAGAUGAAUAGCAGACAACAGUGCAGCCUGGGUUCUUUUUCCUACAUUUCUAAUGCAAAAAGCUGUAAUUAAGGGACAGAGCAGGAGGGGAAGGCAUGAGAUGUCUAUUACAUGACACUGUGGUUUUAGUCCUGGCUGCCAAGAUGUGUGAAGCAGAGAAGAGCGUGCAAGAAUUUAGGGCAGUGCUGCUUAUAUGCAUAACCCCAGUGUGACACGCUCUUACCUCCUGCA